UAUAAUUUAUAAAAAAAAAAAUUCUAACAAUGAAAGAAUUUUAUAUUUUUUUAAUACUAUUUAUAUUGAUAUUAAUUACUGAAACAAAAUUCAAUUCAAGAUUCAAAACUGAUAUAUUGAAUAGACUUAUUGCAAAUGAUGGAUGGAAAAAUUUAAAAGAUGUGUCUUGUAUUGCAUAUUUUCAAAAAGCUUAUUAUUUGGAAGAGCUGCUUGAAACAACUGAACUAAUUAAUUGCAAUAAUCGAAUUCGAUUAUUGACUUUAUUCUUAGCUUGUUCUUACGUAAGAGAUUUAAAAACACUAUUUUUCAUAUUCAUGGAAUUUAGAAAACACUGUAGCAGUUUGAAUAAAAAAUCUGAUCCAAAAGCAACUGGAUAUGAUUGUGCUAUAGAGUUAUUGAAAAAUUUACAAAAAAUGCCAUCAUUAGCAACAUUGAUGAAAGAAACGCUUUAUGUACUGGACUAUUUGCAUACUGAUCCAUGGAAAGAUGCGAAAAAGGAUAAUUUUAUUUUAAAAAAAUUGUUAUUAAUUUUAGAAAAUUUUAACGAAAAGAUAAGAAACUAUCUUCCUUUGAAAAAUGAUUCAAAAGUUACUAAAAAUUUUUUUGAAUUUAUUCAAACAUAUUUUAUUCGAAAUAAUACUGACAUUAAAUAUUAUUGUUUUACGGUUUGUCAAUUUGUAUCAAUUGAUACAGAAUUUCUAUGGCUAAAUAUGAUUAAAGAAUAUAACUACAUAACUAAUAAUGACAAUACUUUGCAGUUUUAUGAUUAUCUCAGUCAAAAAGUCAAUUUAAUAUUUAAUUCUAUAAUUAUAAAUAAAUUUCAUAAACUGGGGUUUCAGCAUGACCCAAAUACUCUACAAAUUGGAAUACCACUACCAAAUAAGUAUAUAACAGUCGAUUUACAAUUUUAUACAAGACCUAACGAGACUUCUACAACAAUUGAAACCGUGUCACAAAGAAAUGUUUUAGAAAACCAAUGGAUUCUAGAGCUUAUUGAUUCAUUUAAUAAAGAUUUGGAUAAUGUAUCUGAACCUAUUAAAGAACUGCAACUAAUCGAUUUUAUCGGACAAGACUUGGUUGAUGUAUCUGAAAACAAUAAGGAUAUGCAGCAAAUCAAUUGUAUCGAGCAAGAUUUGGUUAAUGUAUCUGAACCCAAUAAUGAACUGCAAUUAAUCGAUUUUAUCGGAAAAGAUUUGGUUAAUGUAUCUGAACCUAUUAAAGAACUGCAACUAAUCGAUUUUCUCGGAAAAGGAUUAAAUCCUGAUUAUUCAUAUGAUGAUAUGUCAGAACCGAUGGAAACGGACGAAAAUAGAGAAAAUUAUACCAAAUAUCUUUAAUCAAUUUGGUUAAUGUAUCUGAAACCAAUAAAGAACUGAAACCACAUGAUUUUGCUCGGAAAAGAUAAAAAGUCUCAUUUCAAGAUGAAUAAUUUUUUUUGAUUUUUGGAAUAAUUGCGAGAUACAUAAAAUAUACAAUUUAUUUUAGCUUCGAUGCGAAGUUGAGAAGUGUCUAUUACCACUUUUUCUCAGCUCUCACUGAACUGAUUUCUUUCAACGAUACGUCAAAAGAUCACAAAUCGUAUCUAGUCGAAGGCAUUACCCUCAAAAAUUGAAAAAAUUUCUCUCGUUUCCCGUAAAUGAGGGAAAUCUCCAAAAAAAUUACAAAUGUUAAAAUCACUAAUUUUUUCAAUUUUUUUUACUUAAAACUACCAUAACUUUUUCAAAAAUAAACAAAUCAAUAUGAUUUUUUUUUAUAGAUGUUUGAUGUCUUUACCUAUCAUUUGGUAUAUUUUUUUUAUAAAUUUAACCCUUUACUAGCCCACAGGCUUAAUGCAAAACUUACGCCUCGGAUCAAAGAUUUAACGGACAUAAACAUUGGAACUUGGAAAGUGCGUUCUCUGUAUAGGACUGGAGCUUUGACAACAUCCCUAUCGUUCCUUGAACGAUAUGGGAUGGAUAUUACCGCGAUUCAAGAAGUGAGAUGGACAAGCUCAGGAAGCUUGAAAGCUCAAGGAAAGACAUUAUUAUACAGUGGCGGAGACAAACAUGAAUGUGGGGUAGGUUUUGUAAUAAGGGAUAGCAUUGUUUCAAAUAUAGUGAGGUUCAAACCAAUAAGCGAUCGGCUAUGCUACAUAGAACUCAAAUGCAAAUAGUACAACAUGUUCCUGAUCAACUGUUAUGCAUCGACAGAAGAUAAAAGUGAUGAUAUAAAAAAUAAAUUCUAUGAGGAUUUAAACUUGGUGUGUGACAUUCUACCAAAUGACAAAUCGAAAAUAGUAUUAGGGGACUUCAAUGCGAAGAUUGGAAAGGAGAACAUAUGUAAACCCAUAAUUGGAUCCGAAAGUCUACAUGGAAUUACGAAUGAUAAUGAAAAUAAAUUAAUCACGUUCGCCAUAGCUAGAAAUAUGAUAAUAAGUAACACGUACUUUCCUCACAAGAAUAUACACAAACAAACAUGGAUCUCCCCAUGUGAGUUAGUAAGAAACCAAAUAGAUCACAUGUUAGUGAACAACUGGAUAAAAUCAUGCGUCAAUGAUAUAAGAAGUAUGCGAGGAAGUAGUGCGAUGUCAGAUCAUUUCCUAGUGAAAGCGAAAAUCGCUCUUAGAAUAUAAACAAAAUGGAAGAAGAAGGAUAAGUACAAAGAAAAAAUCAACAAGGACUUACUAAAAUCCAUAACAGCUAAGGUUAUCAAGAAAAAACAACGUCGGAAUUACGAAACAUACAAGAAAUGGUUGACUUGAAUGAAGCAUGGGAGAAAGUAGAACAAGUAAUCAAAAGAUUAGCAAAAUAAGUGCUUGGAUAUAUACCAAAAAAGGCAAAGAAAACACGGUUUAACGAGGAGUGUAAGGCUGCCAAGAGGAAAAAGACAAAGCACGAACUAAGGUUUUACAGAACCCUAGUGUGGACAAUAAAAGAUUGCUAGCACUAAAGCAGAGGAUUGCAAAAAAGGUAAUCAGAAGGAAUAAGAGAUUGUGGGAAAAAGAACGUAUACACACCACAGAAAACAACAGGAAUAGCAACACCAAAAUAUUUUUCGAAAAAGCAAAUGAAGUGAAACAUGGAUUUAAAACUAUACCAACUGUAAUGAAGAAAAAUGACAGAUCGUCAUUAACAGAGAGCAAAGAAAUUGCAUGUGAAUUUAAAGAUAUGUUCGAAAAAUUGUUGAAUCAACCAAAUGAAAAUAUUACUGCACUUGAAUACAUUACUGUAGAACAGCUGUUUGAAAAACCAUCUGAAGAAGAAGUGAAGAUAGGACUAGAUAUGCUAAAAAUUAAAAAAGCACCGGGAGAUGAUGAAAUAGUAUCAGAAUGCCUAAAAAAGGGAGGCCAAGGCCUGCUAAGCCAACUCCACAAACUUAUGAACACAAUCUGGGAACAUGAGGAGAUACCCGAAGCAUGGCGUAUAUCCAUUAUAUGCCCUAUACACAAAAAAGGAGACAUCAUGGAGAUUGAAAAUUAUAGACAGAUCUCACUACUCAAUACAACAUAUAAACUACUGUCUAACAUACUACUGACCAGAAUCAACCCUUAUAUCAAAGAAAUAAUUGGAGAAUACCAAGCUGGUUUUAUGAAAGGGAAAUCAACAAUAGAUCAAAUACACAUAAUAAAACAAGCUGUUGAGAAGAGUCAUGAAUUUGAUAAAGAUAUACACCUACUGUUUAUUGACUUCAAAGCAGCGUACCAGUUAGGUAUACCAGCCAAGUUAACCAUACUAAUAAAAACGUUUUCAUAUAAUUCAAAAAGUAAAGUCAGUUUUGGAGGAAAUUUAUCGGGAGAGUUCACUGUAACGACUGGUCUCAGUCAAGGUGCUGCUUUAUCACCUGCACUGUUCAACAUCGCCCUAGAAUCAGUCAUAAGAAUAGUAAUGUCCCAAGCCAAGGGCAUAGAAAUAAAAGACAAUCAGCAUCUAACAGUAGUUGCUUAUGCGGAUGAUAUAAUCUUAUUAGCCGAAACAGAGGACGACCUAAAAAACACAGCGGGUAUCUUAAUGGAGGAGGGGAAAAAGAUUGGCUUAAGAAUUAAUGAGACAAAGACAAAAUACAUGAUAGUGUCUAGACAAAAUCAUAGAACAGA